rnacentral:tRNA from 1 species
GUGAUUAGCUCAGCUGGGAGAGCACCUCCCUUACAAGGAGGGGGUCGGCGGUUCGAACCCGUCAUCAC